rnacentral:rRNA from 1 species
GACAUAGGUCGCAAACGUUAUCCGGAAUUAUUGGGCGUAAAGGAUGCGUAGAUGGUUCAGUAAGUUACUGGUGGGGAAAUCGAGGCCUAACCUCGUGGAAGUUAGUAAUACUGUUGAACUUGAGUGCAGGAGAGGUUAACGGAACUUCAUGUGGAGCGGUAAAAUGCGUAGAUAUAUGAAAGAACAUCAAUAUAGCGAAGGCAGUUAACUAUUCUGCUACUGACAUUGAGGCAUGAAAGCGUGGGGAGCAAAACGG